UACCGUAUUUAUUUAUCGCUUUGGUAGGUCAGGGCUCGGCCCCGCGUCGAUCGGGUAGCUUUUUGGCAGAUCAGUUAGGUCGUUUCGGUUUUCGGUGCGGCUCUAUCAAGUUAAGGGGGGUGGGAGCCUUUUAUCCUGCCCACGGGCAUUUGGGUCGACUUCCGGGUAAAAUAGGGGCAAGGGAAAGAAACUAAUCGGUUCCAAAACCCGGUUUGUUACCCCGACUACACUGCUUUUGACCCGAUUACCCGACUUUUACCUCGAUUCUUACCCAGAAAUUUUAUUCAAGCUUAAAAUUCGGGUAAUUCAUCGUAUUUUUCAUGGUUUUGUAAUUUGGUGCCGCGCAUCCGCCAAAAUUUCAAGAUGGCGCCGGGUCUAUCGGUUUCGCCGGGUAUUUUGAACCGAACCGCUUGAAAACUACCUACCCGGGUCGCAACCGAUCGGCCAUUUUUCGGGUAGGUCAGUGUGGUUUUUUGGGGUUCAGGUAAUCGUGGCCAAGGUGUGUGUUGUUCUGUGGCAUAUUCGACUGAACGGCUUGGUUGGACAGGUAUUAAGCGGGGAGCUAAUACUUUUUGUACAAACCUGAGGGACACUCUUUUUCACAACACACACAAUUGUUUGAAGAUUGAUUUUCACUAGACGUCAUUUGAAUGUUGCAGUUCCUUUCCGCAGCCCUGCAGUGUGAAAAAAUAGGCAGUG